CGUGGGACUUGUUUCUUCUCUCUCCUUCGUUACUUUCCACAGAGCUGCACGGACAGCCAAAGCUUCUGCUUUCAGAGUCCACGAAGCGUCGACGUUGAUUUUCAGGUGGCCUUUCAUCGGCGGCAGCCACUUUCCAACAACGUCUACAGAAUUUUUGCUGCGUUUUGGUCCUUUCGGGUUCCACCGGUUAAAGCUUUCCAGAUUUGCUUCUACCUCCUACACAACUUCUUGCGGUUGCGGAAGCUCGCCUUUGAAGACCAUUGCAUUUCUGAUCUUCCAAAUCUGCCAGAGGGUGCCCACUACUAGCUCCUUCGGUCGAGGGUUUCUCUCCAAGUUAAAGCUUCAUUCAUGGCAUCUGCUACUAAGCAAGGGCAAUGGUCCAGCAUCGGCUGAAAAUUUCUAGGGCCAACGGAGCCAUAAAGGCGUUGAUAGAAGGCCCUUAGAUGGAGGUGCACCACGUACGUUUUGGGUGGCCGCGAGAGGUAGAGAUCGAGUGUACCAUCUUCCCUGUCCCCAGGAGUCCUUGGACCCGCCAGCUCGUCGUGACCACAAUCUGGGUCGAUGAGGGUCAACCUCAGUUGGUACCUCAUUGAUUCAAAGCGUGGUUUCAUCACGGGCCUAACGUGGUUCAGGAUGGCCCCUUAGAUGGCUUCGACGAACUUGCCGUUGAGGGUGAGGGUGAAGUGGCACUCGACCCUAUCGUGGACGCCAAUGUUAUAGCUAACAUUGAGGCAAACCAGUUGCCCAAGGAUGAGUAGGAGCCCAAAGUAGAGGUGGUAGCUAACCCGCUAGACAUUGACAUUCCUAACGGCGUUGUAGUGGACCCGGAUCCUAAGUAGGAGGGUCCAGGGUAGGGUUAGCUAGGUAGUCCUUUUUGGGGCGUUCACUUUUUGUAUAUAACUUUGCAAGCUGACCUGGUUGGUUUAUAAAAUAUGUUUUGUGUAA